AUCGUUUGUUCCAAAAUUAGGUAAAACUAGUAGGGGCAAUCUUAGCAAAAUAUGCCGGUCUCAGAUGUAUUAAGGAAUUAGAUGUAUUUUUUCAAGGUUUUGGAGUUACCUUUCAUGCAUCCUGGAAAACGUUCAAGAAUAGCUUUGUCCAUGUCAACCGGAGAAAUCCAGUUACCCAGUUCUCCGGUAACACCGUUACGUGGAGUAGGAAUAGUAUCGCGUUUGCAGUCGGUGCUGAUGGACGUGCAUUUCUCGACGCGUGCUACGUCCGCUGGAUUCGUUCUAGCAAGCCAACUAAAACUUCAACAGAUGAUCGUACUCUGCAUCGCUUCCAUCGCAAAUGUAAAUGUCCUUAGGACAGCAAAGGGAUGCACAUUCCUCGACGUAUGAACAGACUUUUGGAGCAAGGGGUUCUGUCAGUGUAUUCAGCAACGGUAUCUUCCCUAUACAAUCGUAACCGUUGCUGAUGGAUGGAUUUUUCGCCACAUUGGUGACCAACGUGGACACUCUGUAAAAUAAAAUGAACAUUUAAAUACUCUUAACGCUUAUUAACUGUUUCACAUUCAAAUGCUUAGAUUUUUAUAUCUUUCUUUUAAUCCUUUUAAUACAUUCUCUUCCGAGAUAUUAAUAUUUUUUAACGCAUUUCCUUUGCGAUAUUCGUGCAAUGAAUUCGAAGUACUCUACGUUACUCUACUUAACGCAUGAAAGCCUAAUCACUAGCUUUGGAUCAACGUAACAGAUCUUAUAUAGAGCGUCUCACAGAGUGUCUGUUAAUAACAUGUCGACUUUUACUUCAUCACUAUAGGAACAUUGAUUAAAGGAAAAAAUGAAUUUUUACAUUGCUAUUUUUCAUUGCGAUAUUUCGUGAAGUAACAACCUGUCUCGAUAGAUCAAAGUAUGAUCGAGAGUUACCCGUUUACUUUUCAUUGAUGAUGUUGAAAAAGAUCUCGCAACUUUCAUGCUGUUGCAUACCGUACAUGAAAAUGUACCCUUUCCUUUUACCGGCAAACCUGUUGCCUUUAUAAGUACAUGCUGCAACUGCAUUUAAAAAAUUUUCAUGCUUCGACGAACAUACAUAGUUUAGAGUAGACACUAUGGAGCACUUUUCUGUUAAAAGAAAAGUAAAAGCAUGACGAAUACUUUAGACGUUAUUAUUAUUUGUCCAC
rnacentral:misc_RNA from 1 species